rnacentral:rRNA from 1 species
CACGUAGGGGGCGAGCGUUGUCCGGAAUUAUUGGGCGUAAAGAGCUCGUAGGCGGUUUGUCGCGUCUGCUGUGAAAACCUAAGGCUCAACCUUGGGCUUGCAGUGGGUACGGGCAGACUAGAGUGCGGUAGGGGUGACUGGAAUUCCUGGUGUAGCGGUGGAAUGCGCAGAUAUCUGGAGGAACACCGGUGGCGAAGGCGGCGUCCUGGACCAACACUGACACUGAGGAGCGAAAGCCAGGGGAGCAAACGGG